GGCGAACGCUGGCGGCAGGCCUAACACAUGCAAGUCGAACGAAGCCUUCGGGCUUAGUGGCGGACGGGUGAGUAACACGUGGGAACGUACCUUUUGGUUCGGAAUAACGCAGAGAAAUUUGCGCUAAUACCGAAUGAGCCCUUAGGGGGAAAGAUUUAUCGCCGAAAGAUCGGCCCGCGUUGGAUUAGGUAGUUGGUGUGGUAAAGGCGCACCAAGCCUACGAUCCAUAGCUGCUCUGAGAGGAUGAUCAGCCACACUGGGACUGAGACACGGCCCAGACUCCUACGGGAGGCAGCAGUGGGGAAUCUUGCGCAAUGGGCGAAAGCCUGACGCAGCCAUGCCGCGUGAAUGAUGAAGGUCUUAGGAUUGUAGAAUUCUUUUACCAGGGACGAUAAUGACGGUACCUGGAGAAAAAGCCCCGGCUAACUUCGUGCCAGCAGCCGCAGUAAGAC
rnacentral:rRNA from 1 species